GGCAGUGCUGCGGUGCUGGGGGCGGGCGGGCAGGCUGGAGAGGAGCAGCCUGGGCCGGGUGGGGAACCCAUACCGAAGCACGGACCAGACGCUUUGUUAGCUGGAGGCCCGGACUGCCUGAUCCGGGAGGUGGAGCCUGGUUCUGGACUCUUGUACGUAGUUUCGUUUCUGGCCAUUUUUUUCUACCGCCAAAUGGUGAGUUAGGGCUCUGGAUCUUGAGAGAUGGCGUCGUGUAAAGGAAAGAGCCCACUUUGACUAAGUCUUGGGUCAGACUUCCUGAACCUGAGUUUACACCUGUGUAACCUAAAGGAGUUCGACUAAGUGAAGUCUGAGAUCACUACAACUCUGAAGUUUCCAAGGGGAGAAGACAGGAGAAGGAAGCAGAAUCUGUGCCAGACUCUGCUGACGAUUCAGUGAAUGACCCCGAUUUUGUCUUUCCACCACUCACCUACUCAGCUUUUUAUCUGUGAAAGUUGAAACCCUAAGGGGUAAGGGAUAGACACUGCCAGGAAGACUUCGGAAUUCAAAAACAAGGAGCUUGUGGCUUGGGUCCUGUUUCCCACCUGGAACUUUGCCCAACACAGGCAACUACAAUCAAGUAGAAAUGGCAACAUAAUAUGUUUAAGCAGAUGGCCAGGCAGCAUUGAUAACCACUCCCACUCCUGCAUGUUCCUUGACUACACUGAACUGAAAAGGAGAUACAGAAUUCCUUAAGAGAGUUACCAAAAAGCAAGGUGACCAGCAACCAACUAAGAUUGUAAGAGACUUGUAUAGACAAAAAAUACCAAGUCUUGCAAACAAAGGCCUAUGAUUGCUUAAUUCCAGUACCCUCUUAUUAUGGGCAAGGGAUCAGGGAGCACCUUCCAGAGCACAAACUCAAGACAUAUUAAUUGGACUUCCCUGGUGACGCAGUAGUUAAGAAUCCGCCUGCCAACGCAUGGGGCACGGGUUCGAGCCCUGGUCCGGGAAGAUCCCACAUGCCGCGGAGCAACU